AAAGACUUAAUUCCUAAGUUUCUAUCUAUAACAUUUGACUAUCCAUUUUAUAUAAAUUUUUUUUAUAAUUAGUAUUUUUAUUGUUGUUAGAUGAUAAAACAUGAAUAAUACUUUACGUGUGGCUAAUCUUUUAAAUUUUUUCAUAAUUUUUUUAAAUAAGACGGACGGUCAAAUGUUGGACACGGAAAUCAGGAAUUGAGUUAUU
rfam:Oryza glaberrima chromosome 6 Oglab06_0047_1, whole genome shotgun sequence.